CCAAAGUGCAWAUUUGGAGAAGCACCCAUAAGAGGGUGCCGGGGCUU
rnacentral:tRNA from 1 species